CUCAUCCUUUCAGAGAGGGUGAGACGAGAUUCCAGGGCCCCUCGCCAUGUCGGGGAGGAUUAUUCUCAGUACUCAUGACUCAUAGCUCAGUCACCUGGGACUCCAAUUCCAGGGAGGUCUGACCCUGACACCUCUGAUCUCCAUGGCACCUGCACAUAUGCAACACACGCACACACACACAGAGGGAGGGAGGGAAAGAGAGAGAGAGAAUUUAAAAUUGUUAAAGUAUUUGAAAUGGUUUCUUCCUUUCUUCUAAUUUAGAAUACAUAUGUAAAGGCAGAAACUCCAGCAGUCACCUUAGGCUCAGAGCUGACCUAGCUGACAAACAAAGCCAUAUGUGGUAGAACAAGAGGAGAAGAGGAGCCUAGGCCUGCAGCACCAUGAGCCACCACACGUAGGACCACCUUUGUCCACCCUACCAUCUCCCUCUCACCAUGCCAUGCCCAUCCCAGGAGUGUCUCGCAAAGCCGCAGAGAGGAACCAAAUUAGAACAGGGUCACAUUCCUAGAAGAGCAAACACGGCUGCCUGU
rnacentral:lncRNA from 1 species